GCAGUAGGGAAUCUUCCGCAAUGGACGAAAGUCUGACGGAGCAACGCCGCGUGAGUGAUGAAGGCUUUCGGGUCGUAAAACUCUGUUGUUAGGGAAGAACAAGUACAAGAGUAACUGCUUGUACCUUGACGGUACCUAACCAGAAAGCCACGGCUAACUACGUGCCAGCAGCCGCGGUAAUACGUAGGUGGCAAGCGUUAUCCGGAAUUAUUGGGCGUAAAGCGCGCGCAGGCGGUUUCUUAAGUCUGAUGUGAAAGCCCACGGCUCAACCGUGGAGGGUCAUUGGAAACUGGGGAACUUGAGUGCAGAAGAGAAAAGCGGAAUUCCACGUGUAGCGGUGAAAUGCGUAGAGAUGUGGAGGAACACCAGUGGCGAAGGCGGCUUUUUGGUCUGUAACUGACGCUGAGGCGCGAAAGCGUGGGGAGCAAACAGGAUUAGAUACCGCKGGUAGUCA
rnacentral:rRNA from 1 species